rnacentral:rRNA from 1 species
AGCAGUAGCCGCGGUAAUACGGGGGGUGCAAGCGUUAAUCGGAAUUACUGGGCGUAAAGCGCACGCAGGCGGUCUGUUAAGUCAGAUGUGAAAUCCCCGGGCUCAACCCGGGAACUGCAUUUGAAGCUGGCAGGCUUGAGUCUUGUAGAGGGGGGUAGAAUUCCAGGUGUAGCGGUGAAAUGCGUAGAGAUCUGGAGGAAUACCGGUGGCGAAGGCGGCCCCCUGGACAAAGACUGACGCUCAGGUGCGAAAGCGUGGGGAGCAAACAGGAUUAGAUACCCCAGUAGUCCCUGUCUCUUAUAC